AACUUUCGGCAAUGGAUCACUUGGCUCUGGCAUCGAUGAAGAACGCAGCGAAAUGCGAUACGUAAUGUGAAUUGCAGAAUCCAGUGAAUCAUCGAAUCUUUGAACGCACAUUGCGCCCGCCAGUAUUCUGGCGGGCAUGCCUGUCCGAGCGUCAUUUCAACCCUCAAGCCCCUCCGGGUGCUUGGUGUUGGAGACCGGCGAACCCGGCCCCUCCCCGGGGCCCCGGGCGCCGCCUCCCAAAUCCAGUGGCGGUCUCGCCGCAGCCUUCCCUGCGUAGUAGCAUCUUAUUUCGCAUGGGAGAGCGGCGCGGCCACGCCGUUAAACACCCCACUUCUGAACGGUUGACCUCGGAUCAGGUAGGACUACCCGCUGAACUUAAGCAUAUCAAUAAGCGGAGGCU
rnacentral:misc_RNA from 1 species